rnacentral:rRNA from 1 species
GCAUGCCUACACCAUAGCGUUAAUGCAACAUAUCCCAUUAGAACUUUGCAGUUAAGGGUGCUCAUGCUAGAGUAGUACUGGGAUGGGUGAUGCCUGGGAAGUCCUACUGUUUUACAUGCC